UCAGUUCGGCUGGAUCGGUGACAGGUGCUGCAUGGCUGUCGUCAGCUCGUGUCGUGAGAUGUUGGGUUAAGUCCCGCAACGAGCGCAACCCUUGUCCUUAGUUGCCAGCAUUCAGUUGGCACUCUAAGGAGACUGCCGGUGUUAAACCGGAGGAAGGUGGGGAUGACGUCAAGUCCUCAUGGCCCUUAUGUCCAGGGCUACACACGUGCUACAAUGGCCGGUACAAAGGGGCGCAAGACCGCGAGGUGGAGCAAAUCCCAAAAAACCGGUCUCAGUUCGGAUUGGAGUCUGCAACUCGACUCCAUGAAGUUGGAAUCGCUAGUAAUCGCGUAUCAGCAUGACGCGGUGAAUACGUUAAACUCGGGCCUU
rnacentral:rRNA from 1 species